rnacentral:lncRNA from 1 species
GUGGAAUAUAGUGAAUAUGCAUGGAAUCUGUUCUAUGAUAGUUCCCUAAGCAGCAUAACCUACUACCUUAGAUAUUAGCUACACAGGCUGAAAUUUGUGGAGAGCUUUUGGGACCCGGAGCACUGGCUCCGGGAGAGGGGCCAUGAUGGGAUGCAGCUGGUAAGGAGAUAGGGCCCUGCUCAUUAAACCAGGCAAGGUCGUGCUGCCCUCAGGAGCAAGGAAGUGAUAAGAACAUGCUGCAAUUAAGAAAAUUGAGUGGUAUGCGGUAAACAAUCGGGCAUUCAUCACGGGACUGUCACGGUAUCUAGCGUUGAUGGUUACUUUCUCACGUAAAGAACUAACCAAUAAGAGAACCCAAUUUGGCAUAUGUAGUAGCUCAUUAACUAUCGUAUAAAUGCCUGCGUGUGCUUCAAUAAAGCUGAGACUUGUUGAUCAUGAAAGCAUGAGACUUGUCUCCCGCUGAUUUCCUACAAAUGGUGACCCCGACGUGAUCCAGUAACGGCGCACCACGGUGGGACGGCGAAGGAGUUCGGGUCCUAAAGCAGCGAGGACGGCUAAAGCACUCGGGAACCAGAGAGAGGAGUGCCGAGCCCUAGGUGACCUCAUCGGAGAGCCUGGCUGAUACGGGCCGCCGAGACCUUGAUCUGGCCCAUUAUGGGUUCCCAGUAAAUGGACUAAGCCAGCCCCGAACGUCAAGAACCCAUCUCAACCCGAUGACAACAACAGCGACUCCGGCGAGCGAUAGCCGCAUGGUGUGCAAGACAUCAUAUACAGUGCCGUGACUCCUGAGCUGCGACUGGUAUUCCCUUAGCAGAUUGCAGAAAACAUCUCAUCAGAAAGGUCUCUUGGACACUGGGAACUGCCAGGAGCAAUUGGCGGUUAUGAGACUCAGAAGCGCACUAAUUGUGGGGGUCAGGUACAGUGGUUGAUCCAGAGUGGGGACUGUGGUAUUUUAUUCAUCGGGAUAUUGAAACUGUAGUUAAUACUGGUGUGCUGUGUAGUCUUUACUGUUAGUUUACUGACAAGGAAUGCUUUGUAGAAGUGUGUAACAUAAAUCUAGUGUAUUCUUAUAGAUAGUGAUUGGUAUGCUGAUAAUCAUGCUUUGUUUACUGUAAUGCUAGCAAAAGGUGGCUCAAGAUGCGAUUCAUACAACCUGGCUCAUACAAAAAGAAAACGGGGGAAGUGUGGAGAGCUUUUGGCACCCGGAGCACUGGCUCCGGGAGAGGGGCCAUGAUGGGAUGCAGCUGGUAAGGAGAUAGGGCCCUGCUCAUUAAACCAGGCAAGGUCGUGCUGCCCUCAGGAGCAAGGAAGUGAUAAGAACAUGCUGCAAUUAAGAAAAUUGAGUGGUAUGCGGUAAACAAUCGGGCAUUCAUCACGGGACUGUCACGGUAUCUAGCGUUGAUGGUUACUUUCUCACGUAAAGAACUAACCAAUAAGAGAACCCAAUUUGGCAUAUGUAGUAGCUCAUUAACUAUCGUAUAAAUGCCUGCGUGUGCUUCAAUAAAGCUGAG